rnacentral:lncRNA from 1 species
AUGGGGGCCGGUGGCCGUGGUGGCCCGGCGGCAGGUGUAGGCACACGGCGGCAGCGGCACCCCGCGACCCUUCAGACCCUUCAGGUAAGGGCGGCCGGGUGGGGGGCUCCCACCACCGCCGUGGGGGCCGAGGAGGCGCCCCCGGGCCGCCGGGCGGAGGGCAGGGAGGCCGGGGGCGGCGGGGCGGGCCGGGGCGGGGCCGUGCCGCUGGCUCCCCGGGCGGCGCUGGGGCCCUGCCAGAACCAUUUUGGUUCGCGGGGUGGCGGCAGCGCAGCCCCCGACGGCCCCAGCGCGGGGCUCCCGCUGUCAAACCCGGCGCGGCAGUCCCCGAAAGGCUUAGUGAAGGGGUGUUCUGCCCGGCUAGGCGGCUGUCGAAAGUGUCUUAUUUAUUUUUAUUUUUUUAAUCUUUUCGGCCGGCUGUCGGAGCGAGGGAAGCGCCUGCGCCGGCUGGGGCUGCGGCGAGCGUCGAGGAUCGCUGGAAGAGUGAAUUUCUCCUGCCCGAGUAACGGGGAACGGGGCAAACCUGCCGCGGCUCCCAGGUGGAGGUACUGCCAACUGUGCAGCUUGUUAUUCACGCGAGGACUCCUUUAACGUGUUUAACUGGGUCCUCUCGCUCUAG